rnacentral:SRP_RNA from 1 species
GCUGGGCGUGGUGGCGCAUGCCUGUAAUCCCAGCUACUCAGGAGGCUGAGGCAGGAGAAUUGCUUGAACCCAGGAGGUGGAGGUUGCAGUGAAUUCAGAUGGCGCCAGUGCAUUCCAGCCUGGGCAACAUAGCAAGACCCUGUCUCAA